UGAAUGCUUCAAUGUCGUUGGCUAUGUCGUUCGUUCGUUGGAGCUUGUGGAUCCCUCACAGGGCAUCGCGUAAGGUUUCAGUCGAAUCUUGGGCGACUUGGCCUGACAGAAUCUUCGCUUCGAUCGCCAUAGCUGGCCACCACGACGACUAGGCCCAGGCCUGGCUGGGUGAGAGCCAGUUCCAGCCGCCGGCCCCACAUGCUCUCUCUCUCUCUCUCUCUCUCGCAUCUGGCGUUGCGUUGCGACCAUGAGGUAGACUACAGUAUGGUUAAGAGCGGGCUUGCGGGUGGAGAGAAUUGGGCUGUGUUCGAUCGAGGCUGAUGGUGCUGCAGUGGCUGGUGCCGUCGCUUUACGGAAAGGGGCUGGUGCCGGGGAUGCGUAGGUUUGUAGGCUUUGGAGCAAUGAGGCUUUGAUUUUACGAUCUGGCAGGGACGAUCGAUUGUUGGAAUCUAGCAGCGAGACGAUGGGAUAUACGAGGAAGCAUCACAUCUAGUGGUGAGGGUAGAGGAUUGCAUUCGCCACUGGAAAUGGAUCCCCUCCCUGGAGGAUUGAAUGUUGAAAUGGCUUCCGGAUUGAUCACAGAUCGUGUGAGCGCUGGAAUGCCAAGUUCGAUGUUCUUCAUCGCAUCAAUCAGCACCACUAAACCAUUCGCAUUCAGAGUAAGUGAAGCACUAUGCCAUCUCAGCGGCAGAAACUAAAGAGGCGAACUUGCACGCACGUAAUUUUGAAGCGAGGUCGUCUUACCAAAGUGUGCGAAUGGGACAUUAAUAAACGACUGUUUCACCCUCCAUUUUUGCCGCUUCUCGGCAUUCUCUCAAACGGCGAUCGAAGAGGUAACUCCUUUGCACGGAACGGCCCGAGACGGUUCUGUCUGUAGUUCAUUUCAGGCCCGGAAACUGAUCGGAUUUCUGAGGAGCCAUAGAUUGUUCCAUUUGGGGUGGGGAUUCCUCAAAAUUGGAUAAAAGCACGACAUUGCUAUCUAGCUUUUCUUUGCCGCAACAGUGGUGGGGUAAAUUUGGACUAGGAUUCUUUUGAAGACGGUGGUUGUGUUUAUAUUUGGGUUUUGAUUGCAUUAGGAAUUGGUCCUUUCCUUACCUCUUCUUACACUCCAAGUCGCAUUCUCAGUGCCUUCCGCAGCCUCUCUUAUAUAUUUCAGUUCAGCUUAAUCUACAAAAUGGUGGAACUGACACGAUAUCAGCAUGGUCUACCAACGAUUCCAAUUUUAAAAUCUCCAUUUACAACUUGAAGCUCCUCUCCAUGUAGUAUGAAAUUAUUCCGAUAGAACAGAAAGUACGCUAAUUGUUUAAAUUAACUGUCUUCUUUAUUCACAGAAAAAUAAGCAUACAUUUUAGGCAACAGAAUUUGGUGAAAUGAGAUGCAGGGACCCUCUGCUCCUGAAGACAUCCUGGGUUCUUUCUCUCUUUCUUUCUUUCUUUCUUCAGGAUAUGCAAGUAGUGUGAUAUGGAAACAGGAGUGUAGGGCGUAAGGAAUCCAACCGGGUGAGCAGGUGCUAUCCCCAAGCAUGACAGAACAACCAAAAACAUUUGAUUUGUGUGGGACAUUUACGCUUAAUGCAGCAAGUCUUAGAAUUGGGUGCUCAAAGUCACUACUGGAUUGGACAGGAUUCGUUUCUUCUAGGUUGAAGAAAAACCCAGUGACGAAGGCGAUGAUUUUUGAGCCAGGAUUUGGAAGAAGAGGGGAACCAAGGCACGAAUGGUUUAUCCGCAGUGACAAGAGUAUUUCAAGUAUCUUGCGUGAGCUUCAAAGUUGAUGUCGAUCACAGCGAGAAUUCUCUGGCAAAUCAAUGGAGUAUUCUGAGGAACUGAAUUCUUUCAAAAUGGAGCGUGAGAGUGUAGUCUCGAGUAGCAAGCCAAGCAAUCUAGCCGAGAAUCUAUUCCAAUCGAUGAAGACGGCACGUACACUAGACUACGGUCUUCAGCUGAUGGACGAUUCCAAAAUGUUGCGCAGAAUCUUAAAGAGUGAGAUUUACAAUCGGGAGUAUUCAAUGAGGAGCUGCAGCGUAGACAAAGCUAGUGGAGCCGAACAUGUGCAGCGGACUGGAUCAAAGGAUCGAGAAAAGAAAACAGGAAACGGGGAGGAGCAAAGCUCGUAUGCCUUCGCGGAUUCAUACAACGGAGACGAAGAAUAUGACUACAUAGUGGAGGUGCCAGAGGAGGACGACGUUGAGGUUUACGAAGACAACCAGUCGGAGAUAUGGCCGCCGCCGCUCAACUCCGAACGGGAUUUACAGCUGCUUCGACCCCCCGCGAGACUGGAAGCAAUGCAAUCUGUGGAGCGAGAGUGGGUGCACAAGCUGUACGCUGCUAUGAACGAUUGCCUGUUCUUGUGCAGUCGACUUAAGAAUGCGCAGAACCAGGUGACGAUCUACCACUCGCAAGUGUCUCAUCUCACCAAGUGUUACUUCAUGGCGGAGGAGAAUUUCCAGAGGUACCAGACGAGGAUUGAGCGAGCUGUGGAGCAUCCGAAUUGGGCAUUCGAGCAGAGCUUUCGGAUAGGUUCGGAGGCGAUGUCGUUCUGCAUCGAUUCUCUAGUGCAGCUCCGGCAUGUCAUGCACGACGGGGAGAUGCUCGCCACGCAGUGCUGUCGUCAAGAUUGGUGGCGGAUGGCGCUCACACUCCCCUGCACGGGCCCCAACUUCCCCCGGUUCAGAUCCAUGUCGCCAUUCGCGUUCAACAUCCGAGAAUUUGUGUGGAGCCUCAACGUUGUGGAGUUCGCGUUUCAUAUCUGGCGCAAUGGCCCGCCCAUAUACACGACCUCGCUUUUGAGCUCGGCAUUCAGCCACUGGGCGACGGAGGAGCGGCACAUCCGGUACACUUAUCUGUACUCGUUGAAAGCAGACGAGGAGAGAGAAGCUAGUGACAAGAGGGUCAUGUGCUUGACGCUGCGGUACAUCGUGAAUGCUACUUGGUAUAACCCCAUCGAAGAGGAGCCCGAUCGCUAUGUCUUCGAGGUUUUGAUGCUGAAGCUUGAGGGGCCGGAACUAACCCCCAAUCUCGCCCCUGACUCGUUCUGGAUCGACCAAUACCAACUGGAGCUUUACGACACCAUCGGUCAGGGGAGCUUAGGUGUUGUCUUGAAGUGCAAGUGGUUCGGGGAGUGUGUGGCGGUGAAAGUGCUCACCGGGGGUAUCGAUCCGGUGGUGCUCGAAGCUGAGGCUGCACUUGUUGCUGGCGUGCAGCACCCCAACAUUGUGAAGCUUAUCGGAUGUGCUUACAACCAGGAACGGAGAGCUGGGAUGUUCGUGAUGGAAGUCGUGGGGCGGGAUCUACGCACGCUCAUUGAGCUCCGUAACAUGAACUUCCAGAACAGAUCACCCCCUUUCUCUUUGUUGCAAUCUGUUGAGAUUAUGUUGCAGAUUGCGGAGGCUCUCCAGUACUUGAAGGAUUGCAAGCUGAUGCAUAAAGACGUGCGGGCGCGGAAAGUGCUGAUCAGGCUCUGUGAAGCCGGAGAGGCUUCAGCUCCGAGCUGGGAGUACUUCCACGUGAAGCUCGCGGAUGUUGGGUUGGCGAAGUUUAAGCUGGAAAUGCUGCAGGCGAGCUCAUUCCAAACAGAAGCAUGUCGAUGGCGAGCUCCGGAGGUAUUCCGCGACGAGGAGAUGAUAGAGAAGUACUCAUGGCCGGCAGACGUGUACAGCUUCGCCAUGACGUGCUACGAAAUCCUCACCGGGGAGGUGCCCUUCCAAGGCGUUCCUCUCAACGAGGUGUAUUUAAAAUUAUGCGCCGGAGAGCGUCCAGAGCUCCCCGCUCACUGUCCGCCUUACAUUGCCAAGUACAUUGCGAAGUGCUGGGCCAGUAACCCUAAUGAGCGACCCGAAUUUUCUGAAAUUUGUGAGCAUCUGCGACAUUGGAAGUGCAUGCUGCUCCUCAGGAAAUCCAUCCCGGCCGUCCAGCCCGCAGGCAAGCUCACCGGCAACAUCAUUGGCAAACCUUGGGAGUCUUGACACUCUGUGUAUACUCCUCCAAGUAAAUCCCCAAUCCCCGGUAUGAGUUUUCAUCACCGCAAAAGCCCACAUUUCUCCGAGACUCAUCUUGCUUCACUCCAAUGAAGGGAUAUAACCACUUUUGGAGCUUCCUUUUCUGCUCACAUUUGCAGAUUGAUAAGCGGUAAUGACGAGGAAUUCAAUGCAGGAAAAAAUGCUUUGUUCAUAGCUGGAUUCAUCAUGGAUCAAGUUCGUCGCAAGAGGACAACCUUAGCAGGGCUUCGAAAACUGGCACGACUCCACUUCGUACCUUGAUGUGAAGAGACCACUCUAUGCACCUUUCAAAGCCAUACAUGGUGACUUGGGUCAACAAGGAAGAUGCCCGUUUCUUCAGUGUCACAUUUAUCAUGAAUAAGUUGGUAUUCUAACAUCUCACACAUUGCAAGGUACAGUAGAUUUUCCGCAUCAAAGCAGCUCAAGUUGAUAUACAUUGAUGAACAGCAUUCAAGGCUCGAGUACAUGUGCUCCUACUCUCCAAGCAGGGUGCAGAUUCAACCGCAAUCUCCAUUCUCAAAUGUGUGUUUUUCUAGCUCUUCUACACACGGGUGCUGUAAUAGAAUUGGAUCUAGACAGGACCCAAGUUUUCAGUCCUGUAUGCUCGCAAGAUUUUCGAAGAGCAACCACUUCUUUAUUUGAGCUGUGACUGUUUUAAGACCUCAUAUCUCUCUUCUUCUUACUUUUUUGUGUUCUGCAGUGAGAUUGAAUGGGUAGUUAACGGAAACAUGGUGUAGAAUAAUCACCAAAUAAGAGAAACACCGACGAUUUCUAGAAUAAUUCUCUGGUGAGAUGGCUCACCAGUGAACACAUGCACCCAGUUAGCAUCUGAACACAUGGACAGAUUUUUAGGCUUAUAUAUCGAACUGGGAUACAACCCAUCUCUUUUCUCUUU